GUGCCAGCCGCCGCGGUAAUACGUAGGGGGCGAGCGUUACCCGGAAUUACUGGGCGUAAAGGGGGCGUAGGCGGUGAUACAAGUCAUCUGUGAAAACCUAUUGCUCAACGCUAGGCUAGCGGAUGAAACUGUAUUACUUGAGUGCACCAGAGGUAGACGGAAUUACCCGAGUAGGGGUGAAAUCCGCAGAUACGGGUAGGAACGCCGGUGGAGAAGUCGGUCUACUGGGGUGCACCAGACGCUGAGGUCCGAAAGCUAGGGGAGCAAACCGGAUUAGAUACCCGGGUAGUCCUAGCCGUAAACGAUGAUCACUAGGUGUAGGGAGUGAUAAACUCUCUGUGCUGAAGCGAACGCGCUAAGUGAGCCGCCUGGGGAGUACGGCCGCAAGGCUGAAAAUUAAAUAAAUUGGCGG
rnacentral:rRNA from 1 species